GGUGGGGUAGCUCAGUGGUGGAGUGCUUGCCGAGCAUAAGCAAGGCCCUGGGUUUAAUUCCCAGUACUACAA
rnacentral:tRNA from 1 species